GCGGGACUGCCCGGCACGAGCCGUUCGAAUAUCCCUGAGGCUAUAAGCAAUCCUAGGGAGCUGUCCCUGCCCUGGAACACGGGUUCGUCCUGGGAACCGGGGCAUACGGCGCCCACCUGACGUUUAGGCGUCAGAGGAUUUCACUGGCACCGACCCAUGGUGGUUCCGUC
rfam:Erythrobacter litoralis HTCC2594, complete genome.